GAUGAACGCUGGCGGCGUGCUUAACACAUGCAAGUCGAACGGAAAGGCCCAAGCUUGCUUGGGUACUCGAGUGGCGAAAGGGUGAGUAACACGUGGGUGAUCUGCCCUGCACUUCGGGAUAAGCCUGGGAAACUGGGUCUAAUACCGGAUAGGACCACAUUUUGGAUGGUGUGGUGGAAAGGUUUUCGGUGUGGGAUGAGCUCGCGGCCUAUCAGCUUGUUGGUGGGGUAAUGGCCUACCAAGGCGUCGACGGGUAGCCGGCCUGAGAGGGUGUACGGGCACAUUGGGACUGAGAUACGGCCCAGACUCCUACGGGAGGCAGCAGUGGGGAAUAUUGCACAAUGGGCGCACGCCUGAUGCAGCGACGCCGCGUGGGGGAUGACGGCCUUCGGGUUGUAAACUCCUUUCGCUAGGGACGAAGCGCAAGUGACGGUACCUGGAGAAGAAGCACCGGCUAACUACGUG
rnacentral:rRNA from 1 species